rfam:Nematostella vectensis strain CH2 x CH6 NEMVEscaffold_16_Cont3209, whole genome shotgun sequence.
UCAUUCAAGUGCAUCAAUGGAACUGUUUCUUCUGGUUUAGAAGGACUAUUGACUAUUGAUG